UGAAAUCUUUAAAAAAAAAAAAAAGAAAGAAAGAAAGAGAGAAACCUGUCCCUUUCCCAAGAUUGGAAAGACACGGUCCUGUAUUUCCUUUUACAUUUGUAAAGUUUUGUUUUGAACAUUUUAGUGUUUAAUCCAUCUGGAAUUGAUUUUGGGGUGUAAUAUGAGGUAGGACUGUUGCCUUUUUUCCCCAAAGCAUAACCAUGGGAACUGGCACCAUUUAUUAAAUUGUCCCUCGUUUCCUCUCUGACCUGCAGUGUCAUGUGUCAUAGCCAUGUCUCGCUCUCUGGGUUCUUUUAUGUUCCUUUGGUCAGUACCGUACUUUUCUUAGUUAUAAUAGCUGUAUAAUGAGUCCUGAUGCCUUGUAGGGCUAGUAGACUAAUCUUAAACUUCUUUUAAAAUACUUAAUAGUUGUGGUCCAAGAUAGAAAGUCAAGAGGGGCUUUUUUUCUUGAUGGGAGAAUUUGCAGCCCAUGUCCUGGUAAGAAUGAUUCACUUGAGGAAUGAUCACAAAAUGAUAAUGUAGGAAAGAAUUGCCAAAGCAGUGCUCUUCAGAAGACAAGGAGGCAUAAGAUAUAGGGCACAUCUGGAGGGGUUACCUUGGUUCACCCGCUGAAGUGGGAGGGAAGACAGGUAAGUGGGUACUUAGGGUGAGAGCUUGUAAAAGUUCUCAUCUGAUUGCUUCUGCAUUCUUAGGAAGCGAGGUCAGCAUUUGAGAGUGAUAACGGGAAGAAAUGUUGGAAGUUUCGAGAGAGAGGGAAUGGGACAGUCACUUAGAAGAAGAGAAGAGUGAGUAGACUUGGGGAAUGAAGUGGAAUUGCCAGGCAGCAGUGAGGGCUCACUUGAGGUUAGUGGUCAUGACUUAGUGAGAACAGUCGUCGGGAUGGGUGUGUGAUCCUCUCCAGGCGUAUGCAACCGUGCAACCACAGAAAGGCAGAGAAUUGAGUGUACCUGGAGUUGGGGUUUGCUCAGAGUAGAGUGAAGGGGGGUAGAGGCAGGAAAUGGAUUUUGUGCAAGGAAGGGAGCAGUUACAGUGAUGGAUCAUUGAACCCAAAAUAAAUUUGGAAGGGGAAAAAAAGGCAUGAGGAAGGGAGUGAGUCAAAGGAUUUUGAGUAUCAAAGAAUUAUUGGAGGUGGCGUCCUAGCUAAAGAGAGAGAGAGCUGGAGACAAGUGGUGAUGGAAGAGUGCGAUGUUUAAUCAGAUUAUGGAAGAGUUGUGGUGGUUGCUGCUGACCUGCAGAUGUUGCUGGAACUUGAGUGGGACAUUUCACUGGGUGAGUACCAUUCAUGGCACAGUUCCAGACAACCUCCAAGUUCUUAGGACAACCGAAAAUGCUUCCAUAAUUUCGCCCCCCAAAACAGUGACUUAAAACCAUGUUUGCAAAUACAGUUGUACCCCCUUAUCUGCAGGAGAUACAUUCGCAGACCCCCAGUGGAUGCCUGAAACUGUGGGCAGUACGAACCCCAUAUUUACUCUAUUUUUACCUAUAUGUACGUAGCUAUGAUAAAGUUUAAUGUAUAAGUUAGGCACAGUAAGAGGUUAACAACAAUAGCUCAUAAUAAAAUAGAACAACUGUAACAAUAUUCUAUAAUACAAGUAAAGUGAAAGUGACCUCUCUCAAAAUACCUUACUGCGCAGUACUCACCCUUCUUGCUGUGACUGAUGAAUGGAGAUGACAGAAUGCCUACAGGAUGAGAUGAAGUGAGGGGAAUGACAGCCCCUGUGACAUAGGCUACUGUUGACCUUCUGAUGGAAAGGUCAGAAGGAAGAUCGUCUGCUUCCCGAUCAGUUGACCAAAGAAAGUGAAACCGCAGAUCAGUGGGGGACUCCUGUACUCCCAGGGGUUGAGAAUCAGUUGCCUAAGAACUAGCCGUGGGGGAUGAGUGACUGAGGUAGGGUGGAGGACAAGAUCUCUGAAGGAGAGAUAAUCAAGGCACUGAGAGGUCAGAGUUUUGGAAGGACAAUCUACAUGGACAGACUUCCCAUUGGUUAUGAUAUUGAAUGACAGUGGGCCAGAGCUGAACUCUUCAAGGAGUAAGGAGUAACCCACGGGGUCUGGAGGUGACUGCAGGCAGGAGAGGUGGCAGGUCACAGUCUGGAGGUUCAAAGCUGGGAGGAUUGGGUGGUCAGGGGAGAGUACAGGAGAAAGGAGGAACAGCUUACAAACAGGUGGCAAUCAGGAAGGACAGCUUCCCCACCUCCGGACUGGCAGUACAAGAGCCACGGCCGAGCAAAGAGCUACCAUGUGAGGUGAGGGCUGCAGGAGAAGCAGCAGCACAAUCCCCAGAGAGAACCAGGUUUCUGUUAGAACAAGUUAGGGGGCAGAAUAUCCAAGAAAUGCAAGUUGGGAAUAUGGGAGAUUUGCUAGUGGCUGACUGUGAUUUCCUAGGGGCCUAGUGGAAGGAUCAAGGAAUCUAGGUGGGGGUAGGAGAGUUUAAGAGAUGAAGUCAUAAGCUAACAUGGACAAAGCUGACUGGGGGUGAGAAUCUAGAAGGUGACAGAUGCUCAGGAGCCCGUCUGUGGUAACUGCAGUCAGUAUAAGGCCAUAAGGAUGAAAGGCUUGAUAAUUUCCAGGCAGAUGGGUUGAGGUUAUGAGUAUUGGUGAGGGAAGGAGAGAAGUUCUUAUGAGAAAGAAACCCACAGAGUUCUGGGGCCCCCUUGACUUCCAGAGGCUCUCUAACAACAUCCUCACUCCUGACAGUUCAAAGCAUGAGGCAGAAAAGGGCAGGCUUCAGAACACUUGGAGCUUCCCGUCUUGAUUCAUGGGGCUGUGAAGUGGAGGUUACGAAUCUUUAUGACAGGAAUACCGUGCACUGAUUGGCUUGGGCCUGCUGUAUUGUUUAUUGCCAUGUAACAAAUUACCUCAAGACAUAGUGGCUUAAAACAGUAUUUAUUAUCUGGUAUUUUCCUUGGAUCAAGAAUCCAGACAGGCAUAACUUGUGGAGUCCUCCAUCUCUGGUUCUCUCCAAAGCUGCGAUUAAGGUGUUAGCAGGGGCUCAAAUCAUUUUGAAGCUCAGCUGGGGGUUGGUCCUCUUCCAAGCUCACUUAGUAGUUGUUGGCAGGAUUUAGUUCCUCACUAACUUUGGCCAGAGGCCCCUUAGGUUCCUUGACACGUGAGCCUCUCCACCAUGGCAGCUGUCUUCCUCAGAGAGAGAGAGAGAGAGAGAGAGAGAGCGCGCGCUAGCAAGACAGAAGCCAGUCCUUCAUAAUCUAAUCUCAGAAGUGACAUUCCCAUCACUUUUUCCUCAUCCGAUCAUUAGAAGCAAGUCACAAGGUCCAGCCCACGCUCAAGGGGAGGGCAUUACACAGGUUAUGACUAGUAGGAGGCAGGGAUCCCUGGAGACAGAGUUGCCCAUCCCUGAACCAACCACUGAUAACAGAGAGAUUAAAACUGGCUUGGACCAGUCAGUGGUCCCGGAGCUGGAGUCAAGUCCCCAAACCACGAGGAGCAGGGAGGAGCAGAGGAUAGAAGAAAUACUGGGAGGACAGCCACUGGGUUCGCUAUAACUGCUAAGCAGUGUCCAUGCUUUUAUUCUUCCGAGGCUGACCUAUUUUCUUUCUGUAGUAUGGGACUACGUCCUUAUGUCUCCCCAUUGCCCUCAAGAUCAAGUCCAGGAUCCUUACUUCAGCAUGCAGUGGCCUUCAUACUCUGAUCCCAGUUUAUCUGUCCAGCCUCACUUUUAACCAUGUACUCUUGUAUCUUCUAAGCCAGUGUGGUUCAUCAAACUUUUUGGUCUCAGCACCCCUUUAAUACUCUUAUAACUUAUUGAGGGCCCCAAAGAGCUUUUGUGACACCUGUGGAUAUUUAUUUAAUUAGGAAUAAAAACUGAUUUUAAGAUAUUUAUUAACUUGUAAAACAAUACUCAUUUACAUAACACAGUUUUGUGCAAAAUAACUACAUUUUUCCAAAAAUGCUUUGUUUUGAGAAAAAUGACAUUGCUUUACUUUUUUUUUUUUUUUAAGUUUUCAACCUCUACACCCAGCAUGGGGCUCGAGCUCAUGACCCUGAGAUCAAAGAGUCACACACUCUACUGAAAGUGAGCCAGGCGCCCCAUAAUGUUUUGCAUUUAAAAAAAUUUCUUUAAUGUCUGGCUUAAUAGAAGACAUCAGGGUUCUCUCCUGUCUGCUUCUGUGUUCAGUUUCUGGCGAUAUGUUGUUUGGUUGAGGGGUUUGAAGGAAAUGUGGCCUCACAUAGAUAUGUAGUUGGAAAGUGGAGAUACAAGUAUUUUAAUAGUUUCUUCAGAUCAUCGCGGAUGUUCUUCUUUGAUACUACACUAGCUCUGUGUAAGUGGUCGUUUCUAAAGGGUUAGUUGCAGUGUGAACUCUGAACUUUGUGUAUUCUGUUAAUAGAGUCCAUUGGACUGUCUGCCAUUUGAAUAACUUUUACCCAUUUGGAAAAUAUGGGUUCCAUGAGUAAUUUGGGUCUUCCAGAUAUUUCAUUAUCAAGUAUUUUUAAUCACAUUUUUACGUAUCAGGUAUAUUGUGUCAGAAAAAUCCUUAUUGGGAAGUUUUGAUCGUGGAGGAUUAAGUUUUCCAGAAUUCUAAGUUUCACUUAAAAGCUCAAACUUUGUCAUUGACAACAAAUGCUACCAGUUGUCUUCCUUGGUGGUAACAGGCUCGUUUCGCUUAUUUUUGAGAAAGCGUUUGAAUAACCAUAGUUUAUCUGUCAUCAUUUUGUCAAGUGACAAUGGUGCUCCAUGAAAAGAUCCUGUGACUUCUGUCUCAUACUUCUGCUGUGUUCUGGGUAUCCUUCAGCUCUGCGUGCACCCACAGCCUCUUCCUGUGCCUCAGGGGGGAAUGUGCUUGCAUGAGUCCGCCAUUAUCUGAUGGAGGGCGGCAGGCCCGGCAGGCCCGGAGCACGGCCACCAGGCCACCAGCGCAGAAGGCGCCACUUCUGGCUGCUUCCUUGGAGGAGACUUCCAGGCUAGCGCGUGCUCCAAGCACCAUGUCCAGGAUAUGUACCAUUAUGAACUAGCAAGGUAGUUUUUGAUGCAGAGAUGCAAAUAGAGUGAUGAUGGUACGACAAGUGAUCUGUAAUUCACUUUUUAUAAGCACCCAUUUGACAGUACCUUGUUGAAAGACCCAAAAAAAAGACCCCAUGUCCUUAAAGUUGUGGUCAUGUUCUGGUACCACCUUUACCUUUUUUGGAGCAUUAAUUAUAUUCUGAGGCUGCUGUGGGACCAUCUGUCCCAGAAAUGUUCUUCGACACAGUUUGAGUAGUUGUUACUAUGAAUGUUCUGCCAAUGUACACACAGAUUUUAUUGCCAUUCACAUUGAUAUUAAUAAAAAGACAUUGUUAAACAAAUUUCUUUGGUUAACAAUUUUUCAUUGCUUUAAAUGGGUGUCUUCCUCCUUCACAAGGGAGGAAGAAUCCCCCAAAGUCUGUGAGUAUAAUCCUGUCUAGUAUUUUUAUGUGUUAAUAAAUAAUUAGGAAUCACUAGUCACUGCAUUUUGCAGGUUCGCGGAUUUUAAAUGUGAUUUUUAUUAUUUUUUUUUUAAUUGACUUUCUCAUUCUGGUAGGAACAGAGCAGGCUGUAAAAGAAAUGUAUUUCUGCCAUCUUGAGGUUUAGUAACUUUUCCUAUUUGAAGGUCCUGGUAUAAUGUGCACUGCAGAUUUGGACUAUACAUGUGAGACCAUAUCCGCGCAUGAGCACUCAUGAGCUCACAAGCAAGUCCUUUCACUUAGCAAAGGAAAGAAUGGAAGAAAGCUGUUUUAGGAAAAAAUAAUGGGGCCUGAGUUCGCUCUUUCAUUCAUCCCUUGAGAGCAUGGGGAUGGGGGGAGUAAUGUAUUUGGGUUAAUGAUGAAGAAAACAAAAACAGCAAUCCCUCUGAGGAAAUGUAACUGGAUACAAUUUAAAGUAGGACCAGAUUGAAACAGAAUUCUUUUCGGAAACGGAAAUAUUUUGUCACACAGAUGCCAUCUAAAUUUUAAAAGAAAUAUAGACUUCCUUUCUUUUCAUACAUCUUGAUUUUGUUAAAUCUUGUAUUUCUUCGAGCCAUAUGUCCCAAGUAAUUAAGUUAUAAAUAUUAUACAGAAUAAUUUGCUACAUAGCAAGUGCUUUUUAAAUUUGAAGCAGCUUACCUUUCUUUCUGACAUCACAGUCCUCACAAAGAUGGAUUAUCUCAAUUUCUCCAUUGACUUUAUCCCAGCAAUACACAUUGUCCUGAGCUGUACAAGUGCACACUACUGCACUCUGUCCCUGCCAGACAGUAGACAGAGUUUAUUGUUUUGUUUCCCUUUUUUUUUGAUGGAACACUAAAGAUGCCCUAGCACCUCCUUUAGCUUUUUGAACUGAUAGGUAUCAAGCAAAGCCUCACAGGCUGUUCUUGCUAAGUAUUGUUAAUGCUACAGGACAGAUUAAAAUCUCAGAAAAUCCCACUUACUAUAUACUCUAUAGGUACGGAUAGUUUUUAUUGUUAAUAUCCUAAAUCAU